UUUCCUAGUAUGGCUGUGUUCCACCAGUCAUUUGAAGCACACUACUACGUUUUAUUUAGCCUAAAACAGUUUUAUAGAGUGUUGUAGUGCACUGCUUUGUAAGGCAUCUGUGGGGGAGCUAUGACUGGCUCAUUCUGAACAAAAGCAGAUGAGGAACUACUGUGAUGCUGCUGAGGCUGGAGCUAUCUAGUUCAGACCGGCGGCUGGGUGCUGCCUUCAGCACUGAAGGGCUCUUUGAAGGUGUGAAGCUCCUCCCCCUAUCCCACUUGGCUCGGUGCACUUAACGCCUGCCCGCUGCUUCACAGCAGAACAAGAUGUUCUCUCGAUUACUCCUGCUGCAAAAAAGGAACAACCGCUUUCACUUUCUGUUGCUGCUGAGGUACAUAAAAUCAGAGAUGGCCAAAGAAGAUUAUCACCCGCUCUGACAUCCAAUCCACAACCAGCAGCUGCCCUCACGGCCUCAUGAUUCAGUGCAGAACACUCUUGAUUGAACCAAGUCAGGCAUUUAAGAAGUCUGGAGGUAGCAGCCCUCACUCAUAAGUAAAAUAAGUGUGUGUGAUGUGUCUUUAAUGGGAGCUUUCACCACAUGCUCAGACAAAAAAACUAAUUAAAGGCAACACGGUGCAUUAGUAAAUGGAGUCUUGAAUGAAAUAGAUCACCCAAAAAUGAAAACUGGAUGACAAUGUGCUCACCCACAGACUAUACAGGAUAUAGAUGAGUUUGUUUCUUCAUCAGAACAGAUUUGGAGAAAUGUAGCAUUCCAUCACUUGCUCACCAAUGGAUCCUCUGCAGUGAAUGGGUGCCGUCAGAAUGAGAGUCCAAACAGCUGAUAAAAACGUCACAAUAGUCCACAAGUAAUCCACACCACACUACUCCAGUCCAUCAAUUAAUGUCUUUAAACUGUGUGUUUGUAAAGAAGCCCAUCAGUAAAUUUUAAAUAUGGCUCCAUCAUUUUUACCAAAUAUUUGCAAGAAAAACAGACACGUCCAAUUCAGACAGGACUGAAAAUGUCUGCUCAACAAAUGAACCUAACUGCCUCAUAGAUGAUAAGCUCUGUCUAAAUAGGAGUCACUGAAUGUGAAACUGUAACUACACUUUACUAUUGAUUUCUCACAGCGGAUCGAUUUCUUACAGACAAUUUACUGAAGCUAAAACUCUCUCUUGAGAGAAGCACAUAAAUAAACAUUCGCACUAAUGAAACUGCACUUUCUCCAGUCUUUCAUUUGUUUAAACUUUCCAUGUAGGCAGCAUUUUCACAGGCAGUUCCUUCCCUGUUCCACCAUUUGAAGAUCAUUGUCUGUAAAGUGCAUGCAGCACUGUUUGAAUGAGGCUGCACUUUGAUAUUUUGAAACGAUGUCUCCUGCUCAGCGAAGAGCAUAAGGAGCUGUAGGCCUCAAUCAUAUAUCUAAGACAGAAAGUUUGUUCUUGUGAAAGGUGCCGAUUCGUGUCAUUUCCUGUUUUAAGAUAUGAGAGCGUCUGAGAGAAAGGAUAUGUGUUUUUUUUACCCCUCACUGUCUUUGUUGAGAUUCUCUCGUCUCCUCACAAACAGGGAUUCCUUGCUGAAAAAUCCAGCUAAAACCAGCAGUUUUAAAAGCACCAGUCGGUGGAACUGGUUUUGACCUCAAAGCCAUCUUGGAGUAUAGCAUUUCUCACCAAGACAGUAAAAACAGCAAUAUUGUGGAAUAUUUUAACAAUUUAAACUGUUUUCUAAUUGAACAUCCUUUCAAAUAUAAUUUAUUCUUAUGAUGGCAAAGCAGAAUUUUCUGUAUCGUUAUUCCAGCCUUCAGAGUCGCAUGAUCCUUCAGAAAUCAUUCUAAUAUGCUGACUUCAAGAAACAUUUCUUAUUAUUGUCAAAGUUAAAAGCAGUUGUGCUGCUUAAAUAAACAGUACAUUGAAAUAUCAGUUACAAAAUCAUUCUGAUGGGUACUUCUGUUUUCUUUCCAAAUGUCUAUUUUUAGGGUCUGUAAGCUUUAUGGCAGCGACUUCUUCUUUUUUAACGGCAGUUGGCAUCCAUAUUAUUGGUGCAUUACUGCCCCCUUUUGUUCCGGAGUGUGGAUCAGUCACAACAGAUCCCAAGUCACAUAAAACUACAUACAGUUGCUUUAAUAUUUAU